UGCUACCAUUUUGUCUAUCUCCUAAUCUUCAGAGAGUUUAUCGGUUGAGGUAGAAGACUAUCAGCAUCUAUUCCUUUGCUUUAUCCUUUCCCAUUGUAGAGAAAAAUAAGCACAAUUUCUUUAUAAGUAUUAAAGGCCUUAUAACUUGACCAACAUUCUCCCAGUGACCUUCUAUGUGAUAAUGUAGACCCGUGUUGAUUUCUGGGGCUAAAGCUUAUGUGAAUUUUUAUGAAGGAAAUUUCUUGACAUUUUCUAGAACUUCAGGAUCAUCUCACUAAAGCAUUUUCCCUGUUUCAUACCAGGAGUGACAUGCCAGUGGGGAGUGUGACUGCCAUGAUUAAUAUGCUUAACCCUGAAGAGCUGCACCUGUAGUUGAUAUGAGUGAAUCUUUAUUGAAAUAUAAUUUUUCUACAAUAAAAUUGUCUAACUUUAAUCAUACAGUCUCUUCUCAAUAUCAACCAGCCCUGACUACAGUCAACCAGCGUGUUGUUCUUGUCUUUCCUUUCUUUGGGAACACCGUGUCUGCCAGAAUGGAAGGACUGAUUUCCUAGAUUGCCAAAGAAUCGACACUUCAGGGAUAGCGAUCAUGUUCCAGCAAGAAGGCCAACUAAGUUAUGCUGUUACACAAACCUGAAUAUGCUGAGUAAAUUGUACUUUUAAAAAACACGUGACAAGGAAUUCCAAAACCAGCAGGAGAGAGAAGAGACUCUCCAGUUGCCAAAAACUAGAGAAAGCAUAAAGCAAAAUAGUAAGUAUGUGACCUGCCCUAUACCUAGAACUUAUGUUGU
rnacentral:lncRNA from 1 species